UACGUAGGGAGCGAGCGUUGUCCGGAUUCAUUGGGCGUAAAGAGCUCGUAGGCGGCUUGGCAAGUCGGGUGUGAAAACUCCAGGCUCAACCUGGAGACGCCACCCGAUACUGCCAUAGCUAGAGUCCGGUAGGGGACCACGGAAUUCCUGGUGUAGCGGUGAAAUGCGCAGAUAUCAGGAGGAACACCGGUGGCGAAGGCGGUGGUCUGGGCCGGAACUGACGCUGAGGAGCGAAAGCGUGGGGAGCGAACAGG
rnacentral:rRNA from 1 species